rnacentral:rRNA from 1 species
CAGCCGCCGCGGGAAUACGAAGGGUGCAAGCGUUAAUCGGAAUUACUGGGCGUAAAGCGUGCGCAGGCGGUUUGUUAAGACAGAUGUGAAAUCCCCGGGCUCAACCUGGGAACUGCAUUUGUGACUGGCAGGCUAGAGUAUGGCAGAGGGGGGUGGAAUUCCGCGUGUAGCAGUGAAAUGCGUAGAUAUGCGGAGGAACACCGAUGGCGAAGGCAGCCCCCUGGGCCAAUACUGACGCUCAUGCACGAAAGCGUGGGGAGCAAACAGGAUUAGAUACCCCCGUAGUCCCUGUCUCUUAUAC